rnacentral:rRNA from 1 species
AUUGAACGCUGGCGGCAGGCCUAACACAUGCAAGUCGAACGAGUGGCGGACGGGUGAGUAAUGUCUGGGAAACUGCCCGAUGGAGGGGGCUAACUACUGGAAACAGUAGCUAAUACCGCAUACCAUCGGAUGUGCCCAGAUGGGAUUAGCUAGUAGGUGUGGUAACGGCUCACCUAGGCGACGAUCCCUAGCUGGUCUGAGAGGAUGACCAGCCACACUGGAACUGAGACACGGUCCAGACUCCUACGGGAGGCAGCAGUGGGGAAUAUUGAACAAUGGGCGAAAGCCUGAUCCAGCCAUGCCGCGUGUAUGAAGAAGGUCUUCGGAUUGUAAAGUACUUUAAGCUGGGAGGCGUUACUCGCAGAAGAAGCACCGGCUAACUUCGUGCCAGCAGCCGCGGUAAUAC